rnacentral:lncRNA from 1 species
ACUUAUCUAACCAAUUUGCUAAGUUAUGUUGAUUAAGUCAUUGAUUGAUUUGAGUUGACCCAUGCCAUUAAAAUAAAUCAGUAUGAUUGAUUUAGGUGUCUCUAGACCAGCCUGUCUCUAGUCUUUUUUAUGACUUGAUAAAGUCAGUGAGAGGAUAUAUGACUGGCAGGUCGAUCUCUUCUCUCAUUCUUAAAUCAUUAAAUCAGUUUAAUUGAUUUAGGUACCCUUGGACCAGCUUGUCUCUAGUCCUCUUCAUGAC